rnacentral:lncRNA from 1 species
AAGAAUCAGAAACUCUCUUUGUUCAUAAGAAGAUAGCUCCCAGAUUAAUCAUCCAAAAAAGAUCCACCACAGAUGUAAGAAAUUACAACAAUGCUCUACCGUCUGUAUAUUUGCUUCACGAUCCCGAGGACGCUGACAGGUUGCUCUUAAAAGAGCAGUUACUUGUCUUUCAUUUAAUCUUUUAGUAUAUCUCUGUCCCUCGACAAUCCUAGAAAGCUGGAAACAAAAAUAUUCUAUAAAUAAGUCUUAAAUAAAUUAUUUUCCAGACACAAAGAAUGAAAAUAGUCUUUUGAUCAUAGAACCUCCAUUGGCAAAUAAAUGCGCCUCUCUUCAGUUCCAGCUUCAAGGGCAGGCAAUGACGUGAAUUGAAGCGCAAUAUUAUGUCUUUCAAGAAAAUAUUGAACCACCGACAUCUCUGUCACACUGCCAUCUGUAAACCUAGCAAAUACAAUCAAAGGGAAGAUAUAACGUGAAUGCCUACUAUAACAUGGAAGGAGGGAUACAUCACUGUUACACGCAAUAUCAAGUGACCAUCGCACUACAUAGUAGCCAACUACUAUCACAUAUCAGAUUUGAGAAAUUGAUUUGAGGCACAUCCGCCAAAAUUUUUACCACCAAGUAGUUCAAUCAUACAUAAAAUACAACACAAAAGACAAAUUUAACCAUAUGUGGAAUUCAGAUGACAACAAAAGCAGGCAACAUAAAGUAUGCUUCUCAAAUGGCGUGGGGGACUCAAGAAUCAGCUAACAUAAACAAAUCGACCAACAUAAACACAACCAAACCACCAAGUUAUGUUAUCACACUCUAUCACCACAAGUUGGACAGUGUUCUUACACUUGUAUAUCAGUUAAUUACACACACACAUACAUUACUUGGCUCAUCGGUUGACUGGUUAUUCCAGUGAUCUUGCAAUUUAAGUUGUACCCCAUAUGCCUGAGCACUACCUUUAUUCCCUUCAAUGCCUUUUUCACCUAGAAGUCAAGAAUUAAACAAUUAUAUUAAUAUCAUUGAGCACGUGUCUCUAUCCCAUUCCCAGCAAUAAUUUUGAAAAUAAUUAAAGGGCAGUUGUCAAAUAGCGGCCAAAAUAGAUCGAAAGUAAAAAGUUUACAGAUAGUUCAAAAGAUUGCUAAUAUACGUAACGGAAUGAUAAUAAGUUGAUCAAGAUAACUGUACAAUUGCAAAUGAAUGCGUGGAAGAUUUUUAAAACCGCCAUUUCAAGAUCUCAUUUCUUUAUCAUCAGAAUUAUAGGCCAAAUUAUACACCAACUUCCGACAUUAAUCAUUAAACACUGUCAUCAACAUUCUGUUCCCCCUAGACUUGGGAGCUCAUUCUAUUUAGAUUUCAAUGGCCAAGAACAACACUACUCACUACCCACCAGUUCAGCCACAAAUUAAGAAAUUACCCUAUCCAAAAUUUGCAAGAAAUUUGAAAUUUUAAACUGCUAAUUACUUGCAAUUAAUUAUACACAGCAUCUAAAACAUUACUUAACUGUUUUCCUAACAAAUCUGUGAUCAUUCUUUGAAAAGGCUCUUAUCGCAAAUAUAUUACGGUGCUGCAGCCCUCAAUUAAAACUUUUAACCGCCCAAUAGAUAGCUCAUUAAAUUGAUACUAAAUUAAUUAUAACCAAGACAUCACGAAAGAAGACUAGACAAUACCUUCAGACGCACUUGAUCAGAAAGAGGACGUGAUAAGUCGCUGCAAUAAUACUGAACAAACUCAGUAACUAGAAUUGGCUUAUAAAAGGAGCUGGCUGAAACAUCUGCAACAGCAAAAGCAAAUAUUUAUGUAGCAACGUUGCACCUAAAAAAGAAAAUCAAGUUUGCAUAAUAUAAAAGAGAAGCAGCAUCAAAUUAUAUAAAAUAUAAUGAGAAAUACCAAUAUUAAGAGAUAGCCCCAUCUGGGUUGGGCGAAGACUCUGAAAAUAUCCACGCCAAUAUUCAACGUCAUCACCAAGCUGACCCAUUGGUCCAAGAUCAGCUGAGAAAAAUGACCUUCCCAGAACUGUAUGCCUGAUGCAGAAGUUCAUCAUUUCAUUAAUUAAUCAUUCUAAAACCUAAAUUGUUCAAGACACAAAAUAGACAAUCAUAAAAUUGUUCCUCAGAAAUAAAAUGCUAAAUCAGUUGCAUGAACAAGCAAAUGCCGGCAUGGGCAGGCAACAUCCUAUUUCAUACAAACCAAAAAGUGAAACUUUUAUUAACACGGUUAAGGUUAAAUACUUCUCUGAUGGAGCUGCUCUGAGAACAACAUCAAGCACUUGUAUAACAUGGUACGGAGCUUCAAAAUGCAUUCGGCGUAAGAACUGCUGUAGAGUGUAAAGAUCAGGCAUCGAUGCCAAUCUGAUAACCACCCUAAACUGACCCUCCCUUCUGCAUAAGAAAUUACUCAGACACAUUAAAUCAAGAAAACUCACAAUCAACAAUAUUCAAGAAACACACAUGUUAAAAGCAUGAGAUACCCCGGGCUGGUAGACGAGCUGGGAUGAGGAUCACUAUCAGGUAAAUUGAUAAUGAAUUCCUUCGAUUCAAAAGGCAGCGGCCCUGCCGUGUAAAUGUUCUUCAUACCAUCAUAGGCAGGUAUUCGUCCACCCAAGUUAGUCAGCCCAUAUAAAUUAAUCAGGUGAGAAAUAAUUUGUCUGUUGAUUUUUUUUGACGUCACCUCUGAAUAUCGAUUCGAUUCGAGAUCUUGGACUUGAUCAAUUGAAACCUUAAAAAAUAAAUAAACAAGGAAAACAAUAAACAUGUUUUUAAAAUAGCAAUAAAACCCCGACAUCUUCGAAUUCGACGCUCACGAAUGGUGAAUCUUAAAUAAAAUCAAAAUUGACGAGAAAAACGGAAAAUAAAAAAUAAAAGGAGUCAAAACGUUUUCGAAAAUAACAAAGUUAAAAUUAAAAGUAGACUUACAUCAUAGUGAUGAAUGUCUCUCUCGGCAAGUUGCACCAUAAAGUGAUUUGCUCGGACAACACAUUUUCUGCCAACGGUUCCGAUUCCCGGCCUCACCGGAAGUCUCAAUUCCUGCGACGACAAAGGGGGAAGAGUAGCCGCCGCUGGUGCCGCCAAUGACAGUUUCUGCUCAGUUUCUUCGACAAGAGUAGAAACUGAAGACGAAGAAGGAGAGGAUUCUGAAACAGACGGAGACGAAGGAGCCGGCGCCGUCGAAGUCGAAGCGGUGUGUGGUGAGGACGGGGCUGCACCGGAGCCGGAAUGCGAUCCACGACCAGCACCCCCACGUUGACCUUGACGACCUCGGCCCCGUGGUCCCGCGGCUCCGCCACCACCGCGCUGGAAAGACGGCGCCGGUGCCUGAGUCGGCUGGUCACGGCAAGAAUCCCGCCUACGACCACCGCCACCACGUCGAGACAUUGUCGAAAGCAGAAAGGUAAAAUAUCAGAGAAAAUUUUGGGGAACCGAAGUGAAGUGAUGGUCACGCAAAUAAAGCGCGAGAGCUACGACUUGAGGAGAAAGUAAGUGUCAGAGAGCUACGACUGGACAGCUACGGCAAGAAUCCUGCACACCUGAUCAUUGUUAUAUAUGUAUAUAUGUACACAAAAACACAUUGGCAAUUGGGCAUUAAAAUUUAUUUGAACAUAUUAUAUUUAGCCUAUUUAAUAAUUUAAACCACUUUCUAAACUUAUAAAUUUUCCUUUUAAAUAUGUUAUAUAUUUGGUCCAUUUAUUAGUUUAUUGUAUGUGUUAUGGACUUGAAAGUGGUGCUCAAGUCAUGACUUAAUUGAUUGAUACAAUUACCUAUCUCAUAACUUUAAAUUUUUAAAAGGGUAAUGAUACAGCCACAAACUCUUGUACAAAUUUAUUUUGUACAAACUGACGUGACAUUAAUUCAUUGAUUGAAUGAAAAUAUAAAUUAAUAAAAAUAAAUCAUGUGGGCCAAAUGAUAUUUAAUUCAACCAAUCUUAUCAUGCUACAUCAUUUUGUACAAAAUAAGUUUGUACAAGAGUUUGUGGCUGUAUCAUUACUCUUUUUAAAAAUAUCAAGACAAAAGUCAUCAGUUUUAACUUUUUAAAUAGUUGAGUUUGAUUUAUUUGAUCAACUAAAUUUCUUACUAUAUAUGAUAAGUUUUUUAUAUUUGCCUCAAAUAUUUAUAUUAAUUUUAAGUCAUUACUUGAAAAUAACAAACAACAAUCUAUAGCUGAAACUUUAAAUUGUUAAUUAAGUUGACAAUGAAGUUAUUAUAGUAUGUAAUUUUAUAAAACUGCAAAUGAGUUGAGAAAAAUUGUAAUUAUGUUGAAAAUCAGUAAUUCAAUGAAAUUCAAUAAUUUGACACCUAUUAUUUUUUGUUGAAAGUUUUUUUGCAAUUGUAUCAUACUAAACCUCUCCUAGAUAAAAUUUUUGGGUUCGUCCCUAUCAAUGUGUCUGCAUAUAUGUAUAUAACAUUCAUAUUAUUAGUUAACUAAAAAAAAAUAAACUAAGUAAAUAUUGAAUCAAUAUGAUAAUAUAAUAUAAUAAUAUUUACAGAUACUUCGUCAUGUACUUAUUAGACAACUAUUUUUAAAUACGAAAAGAAUUAUCCCACAUUAUCUCUAAGGUCCUCAUGGGAUGAAAUUUUUCCUCAUAAAAGUAUGGGUCCAAGAUUAAAUAGCGUGGUCUCAGGAUACAUGAUCCUCACUUCUCUGAUCUCUCUGUGGCACGAAACGAUAGACCGGACUAAUUUUAAAAAGAAUAGUCUAAUCCUCCAACUCUAUACGACUGCUUAACGUGCGCCUAUAUUCUUUUUUUUUUGUUUAAUAAGGGCUCUGUAAAAAGAGCUAAAUCGGAACAAUACGGGGUUUAGCAACCCCAAUCAUGUCCUGCAAAAUAACUGAAUAAAUGCCCACAGGCGGGCUAGUAAAAAAAUGCAUCCCAUUAGGGAGAGAAAGAGCCAUAUUGGCCAUGAAAUCUGCAACUGAAUUCGCUUCGCGAUAGAUGUGAGUUAGGCAGACUUGCCAGUUCCUAUCAAGAAGAUCCCGGAUUGCAACCACUAAAGCAUAGGAAACAUUGGGCACGACUACCUGCUUGGAAAUCAUUUGUGUAACAUACAGACUAUCCACUUCCACCAAUAGCCAUUUUAUGCCAGCCUCCCACGCCAAGAUUAGCCCUUGAUAAAGACCCCAUAGCUCCGCCAUAGCCACCGUACACUCCCCAAUAUUCAUACAAAAUCCCGAAAUCCAAUUUCCAACAUAAUCACGAAUAACGCCCCCAGCUCCUGCCUCAUAUGAAUUUCUAACGGAACCAUCCGUAUUUAAUUUGCACCAAGGCCAUGUAGGAACCUGCCAGCCGACAAACAUCUCUCUUCUCUUCGGUUGCUGACUCAUAUGAGAAAAAUUAAUUCUAUGAAUUUCAUUUGCUCUAGCCAUAACAUCCAUAAUGAUUGCUGAGCUAUCCACCAAUUUUCCUUCGACCAUGAAAUGAUUUCUCCAGAACCAUAGCCUCCAAACGGCCACCCCAAAAACACACUCCCAAGGAAUGUGAGAAGCAAGCUUUGACUUGUUCUGAAGAUUAACUACAAUCCAGUCCCGGAGAUUAGCGUGAAAGAUAGAGUUAUAAUCACCCUCUGAAACAAGACACAACCAUACCCGUUUGAUGCACGGGCAGUCUCUCAAAGCGUGAAGAAUGUCUUCAACCGGAGCCCCACACCUAUCGCAUGCCAUUGACACAGGAAUAUGACGUCGAACUAAUUCGCCAUGAGUUUUUAAGCUACCAUGCAUAAUCUGCCAGAGGAAAAGCCGAACCGACUGUGGUCCCUUCCACGACCAUGCAAGGCUCCACAUUUCCUCUUUGAUGGCGGGAUUUUGGCUGCAGAUGGAGUCAUAUGCUGAACGGACAGUAAAGAUGCCUCUGUGGUCAAAACUCCAAAAAAUUCUAUCAACACCUAGCUGAGGCGCGGGAGGCAUAACUGAUGCAAUUUGCAUGAGGAUAAAGUUAGGUAGCAAAUGCUCAAAUCUCGGCCAGUUCCAGCCCCCAUGUUCAGUGACAUACUCACUCACCGGAUCAUUGAUACGCUCGUGCGGGAUUGGCUGGAUGGCAAGCGUUAUCAAGGGUUCGUGCUUUGUUGCCCAACAGUCAAACCAGAACCGGACUCUCCCCCCGUUGCAAACUGACCAGCGAGCUCUAUGCAUGGUGUCUGCCCACGUUUUCCUGAUAGCCAUCCAGAUCCUAGACCCUUGUUUCUCCGGAAGUGUAAGCGGUAAGUUUCCAAUAUCCAAACCAUAUUUAGAACAAAACACCUUUACCCAUAAUUUUUCCGAAUUCGAAACAACUUCCCACGUUAGCUUCAUCAACAACGCCUGAUUCAUCACAUCCAACUUUUUAAAUCCCAAACCUCCGUGGGUCUUUGGCUUACAAAUUCUGUCCCAGCCCACCAUACUUAGCUUGUGCCUCUUCGAAUUCCCAUCCCAAAUAAACCGGCGACAUGCCGUGUCAAUUUUCUGCCGCACCGGGGGGGGAAGUAAAGUUGUUUGCAUUGCAUAGAUAGGCAUUGCCUGAACCACCGAUUGCGCCAAAGUUACUCUUCCAGCAAAAGAUAAAUGCGCGGCAUUCCAUCCAGUAAGCCUCAUGUUCACCUUAUCCAAAAUGGACUGAUAAGUAGCUUUAUUCACCCGCGAGUGAAUUAGAGGCAUGCCAAGGUAAGAACCCAAAUCCUUAGUAGCCGAAAAACCCAAUGCGUCACCAAUAAGCUGGCCAUCUCUAAUUGAUACAUUUUUAGAGAAAAAAACUUUGAUUUUCGAUUUAUUAACCUUUGCUUCAGAGCUUCGGCAAUAAUUCUCCAACACUUCGUCAAUUAUAUAGGCUUGAUCAACUGAGGCUUCUGAAAAUAAAAGUAAAUCAUCAGCGAAAAAAAGGUGAGUUAGGGGAGUUCCAUGUUUGGCCAACCGGAUUGGUUUCCAAAAGCCUUCCCUCACAGCUUUAGAAAUACCAUGACUUAAACGCUCAAUGCAAAGCACAAAAAUGUAUGGAGAUAGAGGAUCUCCCUGUCGAAUUCCUCUCCCCGGGGAGAAUUCCUCUGUAACCUCUCCAUUCCACAAAAUGCUCAUUUUAACUGUAGUAACACACUCCAUGAUGAGCCUAGAUAGCUGAAUCGGAAAACCAGCCAGCUGAAGAGUUUCGAAGAUAAACGACCAAUUGAGCCGAUCAUAUGCCUUCUCAAGAUCGACCUUGAUAGCCAUAAGCCCUCGCUUGCCUGUCUUCCGUCGCAUAGAAUGAACUACUUCUUGGGCAACAACAAUAUUAUCGAUAAUGUGGCGGCCAGGAACAAAACUGGUUUGAUGUGGGCCUAUAAUUUCAGGCAGUACAGCUUGUAAACGGUUCGCAAUUAUUUUAGUCACAGUUUUAUAGGCUACCGUACAUAAGCUGAUAGGUCUAAACAUUUUUAAACUAGUAGGAUGCUCCACUUUAGGGAUCAACACUAAAAGAGUAGUAUUGACCUCUUUAGGGAUCCUACCAGAGUUAAAAAUGUCAACAAUGAACUUGCAGAAGGAAGGUCCAACCACUGCCCACUGAGACUGAUAGAAGAUAGCUUGCAACCCGUCUGUGCCUGGAGCCUUAAGCGGCUUCAUACUAAAAACAACAUUCUUGAUCUCUUCUACCAAAACUGGUUUAGCGGCACAAUCAAUAUCAAAAGCUACCAGAUUUGGGAAAUAAUUGGGGACAAAAUAAGUGCAGGGGUUUACCACCUCACUUGUGAAAAGAUCUGAAAAAUACCCCAUUGCAUGAUUUCGGAUUUCUUCCUCAUUAUAAAGCCAAUUUCCCGAACUGUCCUGGAUGGCUUCAAUUCUAUUCCGUCGCCUACGGACAAUAGUUUUUUGGUGGAAGAACCUAGUAUUUCUAUCCCCAUGCAUAAUCCAAUCCUUCCUUGAUUUUUGCCACCAAAGAAUCUCCUCCUGCCCCAUCACUGUCUCCAAUUCUUUCCGCAACUGUGCCUCUAAGCGCAUUAACCCCCUCGAACUAUAAUUCUCCAAGGCUGCUUGAAUUCCGUUAAUUCGAGCCAUUAAGACACGUUUCCGCUGAAAAAUAUUCCCAAAAACCGCUCGAUUCCAAACUUUAACCUCUUUGACAAAAUUGGAUGCCGCAUCGCUAUAAGAAGCUUUAGGAUCCCACGUCUGCUUAACAAAAUUAUUAAACUGAUCAUUUGUUAACCAAGAAGCCAAAAAUCGAAACGGUCUAUUAGCAUGAUGUCCCCGUACAAUUCUUCCAAAACGAACUAGAACCGGUCUGUGAUCCGAAGCAACUUUUGGCAGAUGGAGAACUGAGUUAUCUGUAAACUUUAAAAGCCACUCAUUAUUACAUAAGGUUCUAUCUAGCCUUUUAAGAAGAAAGCCACGAGACCGUCUGAAGCGAGGGCCUUUGAACUUUAAAUCAAAUAUUUGGUUGUCAUCAAACCACUGCCGAAACAAGCCACACCCUCUUGAUUGUCCUGCAGCUCCCCCAUGUUUCUCUGAUGCGUACAAUAUAGAGUUAAAGUCGCCACCAAUCAGCCAAGGUUCUUUAACAGAUAAAGCAAGGCUAUCCAAGUGAACUAUCAAACAUGGCAAUUGUUUCAUUGUUUAUGAUAAUUCUAAUAGUAAAUUUUAAUUUUACAGUACUAUAGAAGGACCAGACAAUGGACGUAAUUUGUGUGUUUCUCCAAUCCUGAAGAAGCCAAUAGAGCCAUAAGCACUUUGAAUGGCAUCCUGUUUCAUCAAAAGCCACUACACUUGGCCAUUGCUCAAACAAAGCAAGAAAGAAGUUCAUACCCCCAAAUGAUGUAUGCAAAGCAAGGGCCGGGAGUUGCUAGCACCAAUUUUCUUGUGUAUCCGACUCUUUAUCAACGUGCAUUACAAGUGUAUCAAGCACCAGACUUCAGACAUGGUGGCAUGAUUCCUAAUGGGUUUGUUCCGUCUCUUCCUCCUCUUCCUCUGUUUCGAAUGGUAAUGUACAAUCAAGUGUAGGCUAUGAUUGGAAUUGCUGACUUUGCGGUGAAUGAUUCAGAGUUUUUUUUCUUUUUUUUUUUAAAGGUAAGAGGGGGUGGGUAAGUCCAAAUACAAUUUUUUACUCCCUUACCAGUUACCACCCCCAAAAAUCGAGCCCAAAUUUUGAUAGAAGCUACAGUUGCACUGUAACCAAUCCGACCACGCCCUUGUGGGCCGACGAAUGAUUUAGAGUUACAGUCUCCUAAUUCUGUAAGGCAAACUGGAGAGGGAGGAUGAACGGGCAAGCUAAUUUUCCAAUGCCAUUUAUGCUAUCAAAUCUAUAGAGGCCUUUUUGCAAUUAUCCAAGCUAUCAGUAGUUUUUUUUUUUUUUAAAUUUCUGCUUGAUACUAAAUGAAUUGUAUUCCAUUUGCUUUUUGAAACAAAAUGCUUCUUAAUAACUGUUUAAUUCAUAUGACCAUUAUUGUAGAGGGCUGGGCAAACUGCUGCCAACAACCUGACAAAUGGGAGUCAAAGAGCUACUGCUUCCAAUGAUAAUCUUAUUUCUGCGAAAGGUCAACUUCAAUUUAUACCAGAUAGAAUAAUAAUCUUCAGUUGACCUUUCAAUUUAUUUCCAGUCGUUCAGAAGAUGAUGAUAGAUAAAAACUGCAUUGAUGAAUUCUUUUUGUCUUCUUAACAGUAAAAGGAGCUAAAUUGAUGUUUCAUAUAUUCGAGGUAAAUAGUAAAUUGUCAUUCUAGUAAAUUGAAAUUUAACUUUCUGCAAAUGUACUUGUAAUUUUCAGCUUUGGUUUAGUACUAUUUACAUGUAACUUUUGGGCAGUGUGAUCUUUCACCAAAGAUUACUCAGAUGCUUUUGGAAACGGAUCACUCCGAGCUGCUUGUGUUGUUGGAUAUAAAAGAUAAAAGGAAUAAUGAAAAGCUUCAACUUUAUUGAAUGGUUUUUCAUCAUUAUGCAUACACGAGGGAAGAAAAUUACAAAAGGAAAGCUUGACUAUAAACAAGCUAUAUUCUAAAAGUUAUUUACAUAAUAAUGAUUAAUAUACAAAUUAAAAAUUAAUAAGUUAAAGCCAAUAAUUAUGAAGACCAUAAUGAAAUAUAUUGGCGAUAAUCAUAGAGACUAUAAAGCGGAAGAAGCAAAGAAAGUAAUUCAGAAGCCACCGUCCAGGAGGAAUAAAGAGCAAUUGAAGGGGCAAAAAAGGAAGCAUGCACGGUUCAAUACUCUUAUGGACUGCGUAAUUGCUUUUGAAUUCAAUUCUUUCGUUCUUGCAAUAUUUGUUCAUCUAUUUAAGCAUCUUAAUUAAAACAACUGCAUGUACCCGGCUGUAUACACGCACCAUUUACCCAGUCAAACAAUUGAGGCAAAAUUUAAUUUCCUUUCUGACACCCAUUUUUUAAUUAUAAUUUUAUUAUCUUAAUUCAUUAAAUCUCAAAAAUCACCAAAAAAAAAAAAAAAAUCCUUGAUUAAUUAAUUCUUCUUUCCCUACGGUAACAAGGGUCAAAGCUUAAACCAAUUUCUCUUUCUUUCAAUUUUUCUUUUUCAUUCUCUCUCUCCAAACUUUAUCUUUUUCUUACUUUUCAUUAUAAUAUUAUCAUUUAUUGCCCAUUACUAUCAUUCAAAAUUUAUUCUGUCCAAGAUCUGACAAAGAAAAUUCUAACAAACUUAGAACGGUGUAAAAUAUCUUAUUUUUUUAUUUUUAGAUGAUUAACAUUGUCUCUUUCAACUUGCUUCAAAUUACAAUAGAGCUGAAUUUAUUAAUUUUUGAAUAAUUAUAAAAUAUAAUAUUUACUUCAUAUAUCAUAAUAAAUUUUGGUUAAAGGAAAGGGAUGGAGAGAGAGAGAAAAUAAGACUAAAUAUAUAAUUGAUCAAAUUUUAUUUUCAGAAUAAAAAUGUUAAUUUAAAAAAAAAAGGAGCAGUGCGAAAAUCAGUGGAUCCAAAUUAAAAAAUAACCCGACCUAUAGCAAAGUAAGAGCAUAAACAAAAACCUUUCUUUCGAAAUACAUAUGGAGUUCGUUUUGCAUUUAAAUUUACAAGGCAUUAACUGGGAGAAUAUGCAGCUUAUAGUUUUAAGCCAAGGGUGAUUAGUUUCUACCCUUGAUGCCUAAUUUGAAACUAUGGAAACCAUGACUAAAACAAGAGAGGCUGGAGCCUGCUUUCAGCAGUAAAACAUUACAUCUUUCACAUUAUCCUUGAUGACGGGAAGUGGCCGGAUAGCCAAAUUCCUAUCUGCUGUGCUCCUACUCCCACCUGUGGAUCCACCAGCAGAUGUUUCAUCCUCAAUAUAAUAUCGAGCCCGAAAAGCUGCUAAAUGUGCAUAAUAUGCUGGAGGCACUGCCAUAAGAAACCAACCAUUUUUAAAAAAUAAUAAUAAUAAGUCAAUGCUUGCCAGAACGAUAAAUAAUUCAUUGAUUCAAAAUGCUUUUAGCAAAACAACAGAAGUUCAAGGAUCAGACCUAUGGAAACUGAUCGAGUACACCUUGCGUACCUGAAAAUGGCAAUGAGUCAAAACUUACAAAAUAACCAUACGAAAGAUAAAUUCCUCAGCAAUGCAAUAUUAGAUCCAGUUAUAGAGAAGGUAAACAUAUUACGUGUAACACAAGUUAUUUGUUAACACUUGCAAGUCAUCUGCAGAAAAACGGUUCUCAUCGUACAACACAUGGUAGUGAAUUGGGCGACUGGUUCCCUGUAAUGAAUGCCUUAAUCAGUCCAACACUUUCAAAAUUAGGGGAAAAAAAGGAAGAAUAAGUGUACAUUGUUCAAUGAGAGUAAGUGUGGAUAGAUAAUAAAAUUUGGAUUGAAAAAGCAAACUUAUUUUUUACCCGAAUUCCUGCAUGGCUGUUGAGAUAAAAAUCGAAUUGUGUAGGGUGACAAAUUUGAGUAUCAACAACAGUUCCUAACACAAGAACAUCCCAAAAAUAUUCAUCAAAGACAAGGUUAAGCAGCAACAUGGUUCCCGGCCAUUGUGAAUACUCAAAAGAAGCAAAUAGAAAAUAACGAUGAAUAAUACAGAGCAAAUUUGGAACCUGGCAAAAUAUUUCCACUCCUAUCUGUCAGAUCGCGGUUGUUGUGCUCAGCAGGAAAAAGGCGAGUAUGAUGCCUUUUUUGUACCACAACAAACGUAACUGGUGGCGCAUAUCCCUCCUCAAGUGAGGCACAGGCCUGGAAAUAAGUCAAUUUAGCAUGUUGCAACAAAAGUCAUCAUAAAGAAAUUAACUUAACCUGACUGAAUUGAAAAUCUCUAGAACACAAGAAAAAUUUGUUAACUUCAGGACUAAUCAGCAUUACCUGUCGGAUAGCACUCAUUUCAUGGAGCAAAACCUGACUGAAUUGGCCUUCGCCAACACCAUCUCUGGCACAUAAAUGAAACAACAUCAGUAACAUUCUGCAAAACAUACAGUUUAACAUUGAAAACAGCCAUUACCGGUAGAAAAUAAUCCUAUGAGGUUUAAGGUUUGUUGAUCUUCUGAACGCAAUUAACAGUUCCCUGUAAAAGACAAACAGAAGCAUAAGGUUCUCUUAAUUAAGGCAUAUGAAAAAUUUUUCCAUGUCUACUAACCUGAUCAUUCCUCCAUGAACUGAACCCCCAAAAGGAUCUUGAGUAGAUUUAUAGAGAUCUUGGAUAAUUUCCUGAUUAUGUGCCUGAGCAGAGACAAGUCCUCUGUACUUGGUUACUUCUGGCCAAUCCAUUGAGGCCACCACCUGUCUCAGUCAAUUCAAUCUUUUAACAGAGUGAAUUACUAGAAAGCAGAAACAGAAGAUGAGUGUACAUACAGCCGCUAUUGAAGGGCUAGAGUCUUCUCCUGGUUGUGGAUGGGUGACAUCUGAACCAAAUAUAAUUGUAGGUCUAUCAGUCACAAGAGGAAUUCUUUUCUGAACAGCAUCAACGAGCACAGUGUUUCGUCCUCCGACCUGAUAAAAUUACAAGUAGCAAACUGAAUCUCCAGUACCAAGGAAGCCAACCUAUCAAUUUUAACAAGAAAUUUUGGCACUCCCAAACUCUUCGAAAAAAAAAAAUUCUCGAACAUCAGAAUUUGAUUAUUUGGAAAAAAAAAGUUACAAUAAUUCCAGCAAAUCAAGACUGAAAUUAAAUUGCCCAAAAAAAAAAAUUCAUCUCCUACAUGUUUUCCCACUAACCCUUGUAUUUGUAAAUAUUAACCAUGAUGACGAACAGGAAAAAAAAGGGGGCAAAGCAAACCUUCACAUUGAUUUUAAGAGCCACAUUUUCAAAAUACGGAAUAUUGAGCCUUGAUGCCUGUCUAGGCUGACAGCAUUGUGAAACAAUCCCAAGUUCUGUUUCACAAACUCGCUUAAUUCUUCCUGCAAGCAGAAAGCCGAUAAUGUUGAACAAAACCAAAGCUGAUAUAAAAAUUUAAUCAUGGAUUAAAUUUAUCACUCACCAUAUGAUCCGCUAACAUCAGGUAAAAUAAUUAUCAACAGCUGAAGCUGUUUCCCUUGCUGUGUAGUCCGAUUGUGAACAUCGACAAGUGCCUUCUCAAUUUGAUUUGGGUUGGAUGAACUUAUGGGAAUGACAGGCCGCGGAUUAAAUACCUGGCAUGAUAAACACAGACCCCCCAAAAGAAAAAAGUCGGUUCAGAGAGGCCAUUAACCUGAAUUGCUAACAUGAAUCGCAAAAUAAAUAACAUUACCAUACCAUUCCCUUGCUAUUACACAUGUCUACCAACCCCUGACAGAACUGGAAUGGCACGUCCCGAUUCAAAUGCGUGGAGAAGUUCACACAACUCCAAACUUCCACCCUCCCACCAUUGAACAUUUUCUAUAAAACCAAAAUUACACAAAAUUCAGUGUGAAUAAAAAAAAAGCUCCUCGUUCAGAAGGCAAAGUGGAUUGAGCUGAACACCAAGCACAUACAAUCUAAAUACCUAAGUGAAUAUCAAAUACAAUGCUUUUGAAAGAUGAGAAGUAUAUAACUAAAUAGAAAUUACAGCAUGCUAAAAUGGAAAAAAAAAAUUAUGGUUGCAAAAGAAAUGCAGCACAACCACAUUGCAUCAAAUGUAGCAAAUCAACUUCUAAUCCAUCCUACCCAUCAGUCAAUAAACAUCCCUGAACCAAUUUAAACAGUGGUAACUGCUUCCGUAUGCUCUUCCUAAGCACAAAUCAACAACUACGGAAUAAAAUAAUAAUCAGUAAUUCACCUUGUUCCUCAUGUUCCAUUGCCCAAAACCAGGAUUCACGCUUGCUUCUUGGCCAGUUCCAUGAUAUUUAAGCUGCAGCAUUACAGGAGGUAAAGUUAACCAUAAGGAGAUUGGAAGUACCAUAAUCCUGUUACAAAUAAAACAAAAUGACACAUAAUUACCAUUGGAGCAGGUAGGAUUCGAGCAUCAACCGAUGCAAGACCAUCAGCCAUUUGAAUUCCAAACUCCUUGUUCACAAGAGUAUCUUCACUGUAAGGAUUUUCCCUAGCCAUCUGCAGAAGAAUGUCAACCAGAAUCAGAACCUCUCUUUGUUCACAAGAAGAUAAUUCCUAGAUUAAUCAUCCAAAAAGAUCCACCACAGACGUAAGAAAUUACAACAAUGCUCUACCAUCCGUAUAUUUGCUUCACGAUCGCGAGGACGCUGACAGGUUGCUCUUAAAAGAGCAGUUACUUGUCUUUCAUUUAAUCUUUUAGUAUAUCUCUGUCCCGCGGCAAUCCUAGAAAGCU